rnacentral:rRNA from 1 species
AGUUUGAUCCUGGCUCAGAGCGAACGCUGGCGGCAGGCCUAACACAUGCAAGUCGAACGAACCCUUCGGGGUUAGUGGCGGACGGGUGAGUAACACGUGGGAACGUACCUUUAGGUUCGGAACAACACAGGGAAACUUGUGCUAAUGCCGAAUGUGCCCUUCGGGGGAAGGAUUUAUCGCCUUUAGAGCGGCCCGCGUCUGAUUAGCUUGUUGGUGAGGUAAAGGCUCACCAAGGCUACGAUCAGUAGCUGGUCUGAGAGGAUGAUCAGCCACACUGGGACUGAGACACGGCCCAGACUCCUACGGGAGGCAGCAGUGGGAAUCUUGCGCAAUGGGCGAAAGCCUGACGCAGCCAUGCCGCGUGAAUGAUGAAGGUCUUAGGAUUGUAAAAUUCUUCACCGGGGAAGAUAAUGACGGUACCCGGAGAAGAAGCCCCGGCUAACUUCGUG